UACGUAGGGUGCAAGCGUUGUCCGGAAUUAUUGGGCGUAAAGAGCUCGUAGGCGGUCUGUCGCGUCUGCUGUGAAAACUCGGGGCUUAACCCCGGGCCUGCAGUGGGUACGGGCAGACUAGAGUGCGGUAGGGGAGACUGGAAUUCCUGGUGUAGCGGUGAAAUGCGCAGAUAUCAGGAGGAACACCCGUGGCGAAGGCGGCUCUCUGGGCAAUUCCUGACGCUGAGGAGCGAAAGCGUGGGGAGCGAACAGG
rnacentral:rRNA from 1 species